ensembl:lncRNA
CGACAUGCAGCUGGCCAACGCUGCUUAGCGCAGCCCGCAAAGGCAGGCAGAGUGGAAGAAAAUACGACGUACGUACCCAGUGAAGAGACAGACACGUGAUGCAAACGUCACUGACGGUCGAGACUUCGAGUCGGCGUGAGAGCUCCACUGUGUGUGGAGAGAAGCAACAAACUAACUGAAAAACCUGGGACCUUUCCAAGACCAGGCAGUCAUGAAACCAGGUAAAUACUAUUGCAGAACGUUUGAAAGAGGAGCCCUAAUUGAAUCACUUGUACACACAUGUGAAUAUUACAUACACAUUUAGUUGCUGUAGUUUUCACUCAUCUAUUAUCUAAUAAAUGGGAUCUAAU